CCUACGGGAGGCAGCAGUGGGGGAUAUUGGACAAUGGGGGCAACCCUGAUCCAGCGACGCCGCGUGAGUGAAGAAGUCUCUCGGUAUGUAAAGCUCUUUUAGCAGGGAAGAAGAAAUGACGGUACCUGUGUAAGAAGCCCCGGCUAACUACGUGCCAGCAGCCGCGGUAAUACGUAGGGGGCAAGCGUUAUCCGGAUUUACUGGGGGUAAAGGGAGUGUAGACGGUGAGACAAGUCUGAAGUGAAAGGCGGGGGCCCAACCGCCGAACUGCACUGGAAACUGUGUUUCUUGAGUGCAGGAGAGGUGAGCGGAAUUCCUAGUGUAGCGGUGAAAUGCGUAGAUAUUAGGAGGAACACCAGUGGCGAAGGCGGCUGACUGGACGGUAACUGACGUUGAGGCUCGAAAGCGUGGGGAGCAAACAGGAUUAGAUACCCUUGUAGUC
rnacentral:rRNA from 1 species